rnacentral:rRNA from 1 species
GACGGAGGGUGCUAGCGUUGUUCGGAAUUACUGGGCGUAAAGGGCGCGUAGGCGGCUUGCAUAGUCAGAUGUGAAAUUCCUGGGCUUAACCUGGGGGCUGCAUUUGAUACGUGUGGGCUUGAGUGCGGAAGAGGGUCGUGGAAUUCCCAGUGUAGAGGUGAAAUUCGUAGAUAUCGGGAGGAACACCGGUGGCGAAGGCGGCGACCUGGGUCGAGACUGACGCUGAGGCGCGAAAGCGUGGGGAGCAAACAGG